CUACGUGCGGCACCAGUGAGGAAUAUUGCACAAUGGGGGGAACCCUGAUGCAGCAACGCCGCGUGGAGGAUGACGCAUUUCGGUGUGUAAACUCCUUUUAUAUGUCAAGAAAAUGACGGUAGCAUAUGAAUAAGCACCGGCUGAACUCCGUGCCAGCAGCCGCGGUAAUACGGAGGGUGCAAGCGUUACUCGGAAUCACUGGGCGUAAAGGACGCGUAGGCGGGUUGGAAAGUCAGGUGUGAAAUCCUACAGCUUAACUGUAGAACUGCACUUGAAACUUCUAAUCUAGAGUAUGGGAGGGGGAGAUGGAAUUAGUGGUGUAGGGGUAAAAUCCGUAGAUAUCACUAGGAAUACCUAAAGCGAAGGCGAUCUCCUGGAACAUUACUGACGCUAAGGCGUGAAAGCGUGGGGAGCAAACAGGAUUAGAUACCCGGGUAGUC
rnacentral:rRNA from 1 species